GUGGGGAUGGACGGAGAGAGUCGGGACUGAUGGAGAGUGUGGGGACGGAGGGAGUGGGGACGGACGGAGAUGGGGGGGACGGAGGGAGUGGGGACACAGGGAGUGGGGACAGACGGAGAGUGUGGGGACGGAGGGAGUGGGGACGGAUGGAGAGUGUGGACGGAGGGAGUGGGGAUGGAGGAGAAGUGUGGGGAUGGAGGGAGUGGGGAUGGAGGGAGUGGGGAUGGACGGAGAAAGUCGGGACUGACGGAGAGUGUGGGGACGGAGGGAGUGGGGACGGAUGGAGAGUGUGUGGACGGAGGGAGUGGGGACAGAGGGAGUGGGGACGGACGGAGAGUGUGGGGACGGAGGGAGUGGGGACGGAUGGAGAGUGUCUGGACGGAGGGAGUGGGGAAAGAGGGAGUGGGGACAGAGGGAGUGGGGACAGAGGGAGUGGAGACAU
ensembl:lncRNA